CUAACAGACUGAGGCUAAAGCUACGAGGUCCCAGGUCAUCGUGCUAACAGACUGAGGCUAAAGCUAAGAGGUCCCAGGUCAUCGUUCUAACAGACUGAGGCUAAAGCUAAGAGGUCCCAGGUCAUGAUAUCGUGCUAACAGACUGAGGCUAAAGCUAAGAGGGCCCAGUUCAUCGUGCUAACAGACUGAGGCUAAAGCUAACACGUUCCAGGCCAGGCAAAAAGUCUUCAUCUUCACCAGCUGAUGAUCCAUGCUGAAAAUAACAUUGUUCUUAUAUUGUAGUGUAGACUUAGUUAGUCCUAUAAGUAUGAUAAGAAAAGAUGUAAGAUCUUACUCUUAUUUUGUUCUAACAUAACCCUGUCUAACAGCUUAAAUACUUUUUAUUUUCACUUUUAAGAUUACAAUAGAAAGGCUUUUAGGAUGAGGACUGAAGCGUUUGACAAGCGUAAUGCUAUCUGUGGUAGCUUUAACUUUAACCAAUAAAGAGCAAGACAGAGUCGCUAACGUUAGCCUAAACUCUGAUAGCAUCCAGGACCAGCUUGCACACAGUGGGGACAUAAAGUGGAGGUGCUAGUCGUGAACGGGGCUUUUUAUUUUGUUACGUAAUCUGUAACCCUACAAACUAAUGUAGAGCUCCUUGGGCUUGGAAGUAACGCUCGGUUACUGCUGUAGGCAGUAAGCUAGUUAGUGAGACAUGCUAACGUUUGUAGCUUAGGCUACGUUACAGGAGAUAAACACUAAUUAAAAUAAUUAAAAUUUAUUAAAAUAAAUGUUUAAUCUAUUCUUUACACUUUUGCUGUUGUGAACACAAGCACCUUUUUUCACCUUGCUGAAAUAAAUUAGUAUUUUAUAUCUCCAUCUCAUCACUUCCUGUUAAACCUUUCUUUUCUCUGAAUUCAAAAUUAAGUGCCAUUAAUUGGCAUUAAUAUUUUAAUUUGGUUUUAUUCGCAUUUCAUCAUGUUUCUAUUUAUUAACUGUAAUCUCUAAUGAAUAAAUCUUGGUUAAAUGUAUGUUUUUUUUUUAAUCCCUAAAUUACAAAAACAAAUAAAAGGGCAAAAUGUCUGAAAACACUACACACUAGGGAUUCUGGGUAGUGUAGUUUUUGCUAAGGCAACAGAACCUGAUUUCAUAGCAUCCAAGUGUAAAUCAGACUGACUCCAUAAUAUUAUUUCAGAUCCAUGUGAAGUAAAUCAAAAUAAAAUGUAUUUCUGACUCCCAGCUUGAAGCCCAUCAAACCAUAAUUCAUUUCACAUGAAGAAAUGACGCAAAAUAAAUCCUGUGGCUCCUGUUCACGUCGUUAUUUCAGUGAGAGGUUCUGGCAGAUUACUAAAUGAAUAAAAUAAAUAAAUAAAAACGGGGUUGGACUGUUAGGAGUCUCUCCAAAUCCCGCGGGAAUUCCUCCGUCUCCAUACAUUUUUAAUGAGCUGCUCGCCUGAAAUCUCGCCUGCUCUUGUUUCUCACAGGCGUUAAUUUCCCCGCAGGAUUUAUUUUUCGUUUUUUCAUUUUCCAGGAAUUAUUAUUCCGUCUCCUCUCCUGCUGCUGCUCCAUCAAACAUGUUUGGUUUUUUUUAAAUGAUAAAAAUACAAAAAAAAACACCACUUUUAUUUAUUUUUUUUUAUUGAAAUAUUCGCAGGCCUAUAUAAUUAAUAGAUUUGUAUUGUUGUUGUUGUUUUUUAACAUAUUGGGAUAAACAUGAGAUCAAUAAGAACAUUUUGAGAAUUCAAAACGAGCUUCCAAAACAAAAACCGCUGUAAUAUUAUUAUUAUUAUUAUUAUUUUUAUCCCAUAUUUCCCUUUUUCCAUGGCGCUACUGUGUGUUGCCAACACAUUUUUACAGACAUACUUCCGGUUAUGUGUUUGUAUUGAUGAGAAGUUGGCUGAUAUAUUGAUUCCAAAUAGGAGAUGAGGCCUGAUCGACUGCGCAGGCGUCUGAAUAUCCCCCAAACACUUGCAUUUAAUAGUUUUGCAUGACAACAUCCCUCUAAAAUAUCUUAUUAUUAUUAAUAUUAUUAUUAUUUAUCGGAAGUCACGUUCCCCCUCAGCUGCAGGUUGUUUCACGCUGUUACAGAUAAAAGGCUUUUUCUCCCUGUUGUGCAUGUUUUUGUUUUGUUUUUUUUUUGGUUUUUGCGUCCUGGUCCGCAGACAGCAGCCGUGUCCUCCCUCACGUCACAUCGCACCGCAUCCAUAUUAAUGCGCAGGAGCCCGCGUGCGUUUCCCCGCGGGAGCCCGCAGCACGCAAACUGCGGCCCCGAGGAACUUCUGCAGGAGCCUCAUUAAACCUUAACGCGGUCACAGCUGCAGUCUUACUGAAACUCUCACUGUAAGAAGGCCUUUACAGGAAUAUUACAUGCAACAAAAGCCUUUAAAAAUCAAAUAAAAAAGAGGUUCUUAGGCCUGUCACUGCAGGGACGAUAUAAUAAUAACAUACUGCAGGUGAGGCAGGUGUGACGCUGCAGGUAAAUGCAUAUAAUAAGACUGGUAGGUGAUUAAAAAAAUGACAUAACAUUAUAAAAGCACUAUAAACCUACACGAUAGACAAAUUAUGAGCUUAAAAAUACCAGAAAUAAAAUAUGAUCAGGUCACUUUUUAAAAAAAAGUGAGGGUUGUAUAGAUACAUUAUUAUUAUAAAUAUAUUAAUGUCAUUAAAAUACUAUACAUCUGUCUGCAUAGAUCCCCAUAAUAUCCACAGUUUUUACUGUUUUUACUGUAUUUCUUGGUUUAAUAUUUCCUCUUGCAUCGUGGAAACAAGAUCUGGUUUCUUCGAUUAUUAUUUUGGGAUAUUAAAAUCAUUUAUUUAAAUAAAAAGAGUGAAUGAAAUCAGCUUUGCAGCGCCACAAACCUCUGCUCAGGACAGGAAAAAGCAGAGAUGUUUUCUCGUUGCAGAUCCCCCAUAUAAACACGGCCUGUUUUCAUCCUCAUAGGAUAAUUAUUGGAUAUUUUAGUUAUUAAAAACCAUAAAAGACAAAAAAAGACAGUGUAAGAUCAACCUCGCAGUUCCCCUGAAUUAUAGGAAUAUUGUCGUAGUAAAUAUUGAAUUAUGAAUCACCUAGUCAGAGUUUUCUUUCCAUUAUCGAUCCUGAAAUAUUCACCUUUUCACUUCGGUUUAAUGUUUUCUCCUGCAGCAUGGAAACCAGAUCUGGUUUCAUCCUCUCAGGCAGAUUAUGGGAACACUGGAGUUUUUUUAUUUGAGAUAUUUGGUUUGAUAUUUUCUCCUGCAGCAUGGAAACCAGAUCUGUUUGCAUCCUGUGAUCUUGACUAAAGACUUUAGUCUCGUGGAACGAUCGGUCAGGAUCAAACUGGUUUAAAUGUCUCGGCAGCUUGGAUUAUCCAUGUUGGACUGAUCAAACAUCUUCCACAUCAUCCACCCGUCUCCUCUUCCUCCUCUUCCUCCACUCGAUCAAUACAAACUGAGUGCAUGUGGCAGCUCAGGGACUCUCCCUUAUUAAUAAUGAAUACACUCCAAACCUGUGUGUGUGUGUGUGUGUGUGUGUGUGUGUGUGUGUCCAUUGUCUUGAAUGCAGCAAACCAAACCCACUGGAUAAAACCACAUUUUUUUGUCCCCGGAUCAAAAAUAAAAGCACACACUUAUUUUCAAACAUUAGUCAUUUUAUUUAUUACUCUUUAUCAUUUUAGCAAUCUUUUAUUUUAUUUUUUUAUAUACCUCAUAGGCCUAUAAUCUGUAAAGUAUCAAUCUUGUGUUAAAACUGUCUGGGAUAGACUAUCUAUAAUAGAGCUUUUUUUUAUUUUUAUUUUCUCAAAAUCCUUUGAUAUACAUAAUCUCUUGUUAGAUGAUUUUUGGAAUAAGUCCUUUUUUUUUUUUUAAACUCUUUUUGUUACGCAACAUCCCCAUAAACAAACAAAGAGACAAACAAACAAAAGUACACAUCUUUUUGUCAGAAGGCAGUGGAAACGUCAAAGAAAUGAACAACCUCCUCGAAUUUAUUUACUGUAUUUAUGUAGUUUAAGAUGCUACUGUACUGUUGGGACUCAGCUUUUUAAUCUAACAUACAGACCUAAAAUAUAUCACCUCUAAGGUCGUCUAGUGUGAAUCACUGGCGUAUGAAAAGGGGGGAUGUGCUAAAUGGCAACAGUCAUAUCACUCUUCAGCCACGGUUUGAUUUUUUAUUUUUUUUUAGCUACACUGGCCAAGAAGUCACGACUUCGUAUUGCUGUCGGCUUUUCAAAGCAUUUCUUUCUUUCUUUCCGUAGCCGUUUUUCGCUCGUUCGUUUCUAACACGUGUGGUUCUGCUGAGCGGGGAUGUGGCGGG